GAUGAACGCUGGCGGCGUGCCUAAUACAUGCAAGUCGAACGCAUUGUGGUUGAAAUGAUAUGAAGAACUUGUUCAGAUUUGAUUUUCAACAUUGCAAUGAGUGGCGAACGGGUGAGUAACACGUGGGAAACCUACCUCUUAGCAGGGGAUAACAUUUGGAAACAAAUGCUAAUACCGUAUAAUAAUUAAAACCGCAUGGUUUUAGUUUAAAAGAUGGUCUUGCUAUCACUAAGAGAUGGUCCCGCGGUGUAUUAGUUAGUUGGUGAGGUAAUGGCUCACCAAGACAAUGAUACAUAGCCGAGUUGAGAGACUGACCGGCCACAAUGGGACUGAGACACGGCCCAUACUCCUACGGGAGGCAGCAGUAGGAAUCUUCCACAAUGGACGAAAGUCUGAUGGAGCAACGACCGCGUGUGUGAUGAAGGGUUUCGGCUCGUAAACACUGUUGUAAGAGAAGAAUGACAUUGAG
rnacentral:rRNA from 1 species